rnacentral:tRNA from 1 species
GCCCGGGUGGCGGAAUUGGCAGACGCGGGGGAUUCAAAAUCCCCUUCUCUUCGGGGAGUGCGGGUUCAAGUCCCGCCCCGGGCA